UGGCAUUUUUAUUAAUUGUCGCGCCUCCUAGUUGUCGAUAGUUCAACCACACUAUUUCCUUAUCCCGAGACAAUUUUAUGACCACUCACGGGCUUAAUUUGCUUGUUUGUCUGAUGAGUUCGUUUCUUUUAACGGCAAUUGUUUGUACAUCUUUUAUAUUAAAUGUAACAAAGAAAUAAGAAAAUCCAAUCAAAGGUCUUUCCAAGUCGGACAGUGAUUAGAAGCGGACGUGGUCCCAGAACAUUGUGGAAUCUUUAUAAAAGUGACUGUUAGCUGUUCGAAGAAGUAGAUAUUUGGAAAGUACAUAAAAGUAUAGUGGAAAUUAGGCAGGCCCAAGUGAGAGGAAACGCAGAUUUCCUAUAUCUUUUAAAGAUAUUAGCUGCCAUCAAACCAGCUAAACUUUGAAUCUGCUGCUCGAGGCUCAGG